GUGAAAGGGGGUCUCCACUGUCUCCACCCAAUCUCUUCUCUCCCAGUUAUUUUCUGGGACACUGCACAAUACAACUUUAUUUGAUGGCAGAACAUUCAGAGGCUGUAAGCUUGACACAUGGCAAAAUGCUUCUGCUGUUUCUGAGUCUCGGUUUGUUCACUUCUAAUGUCCAGUCAGAAAAACAAGGGGUUAAUGUCACGUGUGAAAAUCAAUCGGUUGUAGCAGGACAGAACCACAACCUGACAUGUAGAGUGGAUUACAGUGAUGUAGAUCAGAAUAUUACGGGAUGUAAAACUGUACGGUAUUUCUGGAGGCAUGACUCAAAACCUACAAUAGGAAAAUGUGAUUGUACAAAAGAUUGUAAAACUACGAUAACAACAACGGGAUGUAAAACUGAACAGCAUUUCUGGAAUCAUAACUCAAGUACCGAAAACAUAAAUUGCACAAUAGACUGU